AGCAGUGUUGCUUAGUGGUUAGAGCACGGUCUUGGGAUCAGAGGACCUGGGUUCUAAACCCAGCUCUGCCA
rnacentral:tRNA from 1 species